CAACUCGCCUGCAUGAAGUCGGAAUUGCUAGUAAUCGCGGAUCAGCAUGCCGCGGUGAAUACGUUCUCGGGCCUUGUACACACCGCCCGUCACACCAUGAGAGUUGGGAAUACCCGAAGCCUGUGAGCUAACUUUUAGAGGCAGCAGUCGAAGGUAGAAUCAAUGAUUGGGGUGAAGUCGUAACAAGGUACC
rnacentral:rRNA from 1 species